ACUUUAUGGAUGACUUGGGAUCUCGGUCUGUUUUCUUGAGAGAUGAAAAAUGACCAGUUUCUGAAAUUGAGCUGGGAAAGACUUGGGAAAAAGCCCUCAGAAGAGCGGUCUGAAGAGUUUGAGGAUCAGCCUGAAGAAGCCUAGAGCACAGGAAAUGAUCUUAAUCAGACAGCUCUGGUACACCGUGUCUCCCCAGGUCCUGAUUUUAAUCUAAGCAAAUCAUCCAUCCUAUUCAACUAAGCCAAAGGAAAUUUCUUGAAGGAGCCUUUUAGCCUGACAGACUUGGAAGAACAGGAAAUGGCGGGAUCUGAAAGAAAUCAGGGUGUUUUUAUUUAAAAAAAAAAUGGAAAUAGAGGUAACCAGCAUGAGAUGAACUUAGCUUCAGAAAACAAACAUGAACAGGGAUAAUACACAGGCGCCUUCUUCCAAGACCUCGUGCGCUAGACAGUGAGGGCAACUGAAUCCCAAAGACUGAAAUAGAUGACAGAAGACUUAUGAAGCUACUGUUUUAUAUUCUGAAGACAUGUUUAAUUUUUAGUCAUUGGUUUCCAACAUUUCAGAAAUAACACAAAAGGGUUUGUUUGUUUGUUUGUUUGUUGUUAAAGCAUUCUACAAUCCUUCUUCCAACUCUUCUACAAGAUUCCCCAAGAUCCCUCUGAUGUUUGACUCUGGGUCUCUGCAUCUGUUUCCAUUGGCUGCUGGGUGGAGCCUCUCAGAGGUCAGCUAUGCUAGGCUCCUGUCUGCAAAUAUAACACUGUAUAAUUAAUGGUGUCAUGGGUUGGUUAU
rnacentral:lncRNA from 1 species